CUGGUCUGAGAGGACGACCAGCCACACCGGAACUGAGACACGGUCCGGACUCCUACGGGAGGCAGCAGUGGGGAAUAUUGGACAAUGGGGGAAACCCUGAUCCAGCGACGCCGCGUGUGUGAAGAAGGCCUGCGGGUUGUAAAGCACUUUUAGUGGGGACAAAAAGCUACGGAUUAAUACUCUGUGGUCUUGAUUUAACCCAAAGAAAAAGCACCGGCUAACUCUGUGCCAGCAGCCGCGGUAAUACAGAGGGUGCGAGCGUUAAUCGGAAUUACUGGGCGUAAAGCGCGCGUAGACGGUUUUGUAAGUCAGAUGUGAAAUCCCUGGGCUCAACCUGGGAACUGCAUUUGAGACUGCAUGGCUAGAGUAUCGAAGAGGGAAGUGGAAUUUCCGGUGUAGCGGUGAAAUGCGUAGAUAUCGGAAGGAACACCAGUGGCGAAAGCGACUUCCUGGUCGAAUACUGACGUUCAUGUGCGAAAGCGUGGGGAGCAAACAGGAUUAGAUACCCUGGUAGUCCACGCCAUAAACGAUGACAACUAGAUGUUGGGAGGGUCUGCCUCUCGGUGUCGCAGCUAACGCGUUAAGUUGUCCGCCUGGGGAGUACGGCCGCAAG
rnacentral:rRNA from 1 species